rnacentral:rRNA from 1 species
UACGGAGGGUGCAAGCGUUAAUCGGAAUUACUGGGCGUAAAGCGCACGUAGGUGGUUUUUCUAAGUCAGCUGUGAAAUCCCCCGGGCUCAACCUGGGACUUGCAGUUGAAACUGGAAAAGCUAGAGUAGGGUAGAGGGGGUGUGGAAUUCCAGGUGUAGCGGUGAAAUGCGUAGAUAUCUGGAGGAACAUCAGUGGCGAAGGCGACACCCUGGACUCAUACUGACACUGAGGUGCGAAAGCGUGGGGGAGCAAACAGG